rnacentral:tRNA from 1 species
AGUUUUAUAUUCAUAUUAUGAUUUUAAAUUGCAAAUUUAAAGGUGUGGUUAUCACUAAAACUU